AAGUAAAAGUCGUAACAAGGUUUCCGUAGGUGAACCUGCGGAAGGAUCAUUAUUGAAUUAAAUUGGUUGGGUUGUUGCUGGCUUUUAGGAGCAUGUGCACAUCCACUCCAUUUUCAA
rnacentral:rRNA from 1 species